rnacentral:rRNA from 1 species
UACGUAGGGUGCAAGCGUUAAUCGGAAUUACUGGGCGUAAAGCGUGCGUAGGUGGUUUGUUAAGUCUGAUGUGAAAGCCCUAGGCUCAACCUGGGAAUUGCAUUGGAUACUGGCAAGCUAGAGUGCGGUAGAGGAUAGUGGAAUUCCCGGUGUAGCAGUGAAAUGCGUAGAGAUCGGGAGGAACAUCUGUGGCGAAGGCGACUAUCUGGGCCAGCACUGACACUGAGGCACGAAAGCGUGGGGAGCAAACAGG